rnacentral:rRNA from 1 species
UACGUAGGGUGCAAGCGUUAAUCGGAAUUACUGGGCGUAAAGCGUGCGCAGGCGGUUAUGCAAGACAGAUGUGAAAUCCCCGGGCUCAACCUGGGAACUGCAUUUGUAACUGCAUGGCUAGAGUACGGUAGAGGGGGAUGGAAUUCCGCGUGUAGCAGUGAAAUGCGUAGAUAUGCGGAGGAACACCGAUGGCGAAGGCAAUCCCCUGGACCUGUACUGACGCUCAUGCACGAAAGCGUGGGGAGCAAACAGG